rnacentral:rRNA from 1 species
UUGAACGCUGGCGGCAUGCUUUACACAUGCAAGUCGAACGGCAGCGGGGUAGUGCUUGCACUACUGCCGGCGAGUGGCGAACGGGUGAGUAAUAUAUCGGAACGUACCGAGUAAUGGGGGAUAACCAAUCGAAAGAUUGGCUAAUACCGCAUACGUCCUGAGGGAGAAAGCGGGGGAUCGCAAGACCUCGCGUUAUUCGAGCGGCCGAUAACUGAUUAGCUAGUUGGUGGGGUAAAGGCCUACCAAGGCGACGAUCAGUAGCGGGUCUGAGAGGACGAUCCGCCACACUGGGACUGAGACACGGCCCAGACUCCUACGGGAGGCAGCAGUGGGGAAUUUUGGACAAUGGGGGCAACCCUGAUCCAGCCAUGCCGCGUGUAUGAAGAAGGCCUUCGGGUUGUAAAGUACUCUUGUUAGGGAAGAAAAGGGAAGUGCUAAUACCACUUUUUGCUGACGGUACCUAAAGAAUAAGCACCGGCUAACUACGUG